rnacentral:sRNA from 1 species
GCUGGGUGUAGUGGCGCACACCUGUAAUCCCAGCCGCUCAGGAGGCUGAGACAGGAGAAUCAUGAGUUCAAAGCCAACAUCAGCAAUGGUGAGGCACUAAGCAACUCAGUGAGACCCUGUCUCUA